UUGAACGCCGGCGGCAGGCCUAACACAUGCAAGUCGAGCGGCAGCGCGGGGCAACCUGGCGGCGAGCGGCGGACGGGUGAGUAACGCGUAGGAAUCUACCCAGUAGCGGGGGAUAGCCCGGGGAAACUCGGAUUAAUACCGCAUACGCCCUAAGGGGGAAAGCAGGGGAUCUUCGGACCUUGCACUAUUGGCAGAGCCUGCGUUGGAUUAGCUAGUUGGUAGGGUAAGGCCUACCAAGGCAACGAUCCAUAACUGGUCUGAGAGGAUGAUCAGUCACACCGGAACUGAGACACGGUCCGGACUCCUACGGGAGGCAGCAGUGGGGAAUAUUGGACAAUGGGGGCAACCCUGAUCCAGCCAUGCCGCGUGUGUGAAGAAGGCCUUCGGGUUGUAAAGCACUUUAAGUGGGGAGAAAGGUUCGGCAGUUAAUACCUGCCGGAAGUGAUGUUACCCACAGAAUAAGCACCGGCUAACUCUGUGCCAGCAGCCGCGGUAA
rnacentral:rRNA from 1 species